AUCGGGCAGGCGAGUCCCAAAUAGGACGAAACGCGCGUCCUGAAU
rnacentral:hammerhead_ribozyme from 1 species